ACGAACGCUGGCGGCAUGCCUAACACCUGCAAGUCGAACGAGACCUUCGGGUCUAGUGGCGCACGGGUGCGUAACGCGUGGGAACCUGCCUUUAGGUUCGGAAUAACUCAGAGAAAUUUGAGCUAAUACCGGAUGAUGUCUUCGGACCAAAGAUUUAUCGCCUUUAGAUGGGCCCGCGUUGGAUUAGCUAGUUGGUGGGGUAAAGGCCUACCAAGGCGACGAUCCAUAGCUGGUCUGAGAGGAUGAUCAGCCACACUGGGACUGAGACACGGCCCAGACUCCUACGGGAGGCAGCAGUGGGGAAUAUUGGACAAUGGGCGAAAGCCUGAUCCAGCAAUGCCGCGUGAGUGAUGAAGGCCUUAGGGUUGUAAAGCUCUUUUACCCGAGAUGAUAAUGACAGUAUCGGGAGAAUAAGCUCCGGCUAACUCCGUG
rnacentral:rRNA from 1 species